CCAGGUUGAGGUUUUCCAAAUACCAUCACUAAGCUGUUUAAAUCGUUUUAAUCAGCUGAUUAGCAGCCUCGCUCUAACAUAUACUUUACUUUACAUAAUAAAUUAGCAUAUUUUGUGACGUAGUAAUUUUUUUGUCGUUAAUAAUAAUCGUGAUUGAAGCAGGAAUCAUUGAGUCGGAUUUGGAACCCGGGUCUGUGUGACGAACACACCUCCAAAACAAAAGGAAGAACGGAAACCGGAGCUGAGGAAACAGUCUUGUUCUCGUUCUCUCUCUCUCUCUCUCUCUCUCUCUCUCUGUGUCUCUUUUUCUCUCUAAUAUCACUCGACGCUUUCUUUUCGCACGCGCACAUACGGGUUCUUCUGAUGGAUUGAUGGAUAUAUAUAUAUAUAUUUUUCUUUUUUAUUUUGUCGGUGUAGAUAAACAACGGAUGCGCAUGAGAGUGUCUUAAACAAUGGACGUUCCGUAAUGUAUGUAAAUUAAAUAAUAAUUAAAAUAAUAAUAAUAAUAACCGUCGUUUUGUCGCCUCAGCUGACGCCUUUUAACGUGCGCGAGCGCGGAGGCGGAUCCCCCCCACCCGCGCGCGCACUGAGGGAGGCCAGAAAGAAGAGGCUCGAGCGCCAGACAAAUUUAGAGGGAAAAACAAAUUAUCCUCAACAAAAAACGAAUGUUUGCUUGUUAACUGCUAUUUGGAGGACCCUUAUUUAUUCGUUUACACACACACACAACGCAACGUCUAGCGUCGAUCAUGUGUCUCAACGUGGACCCGGGAUGCGGCGAACAUGGCGUGCCGUCAACACGUAACCCGAAGCAUGUUGGCGGUCGUUUCGGUAAGUUGUCGAAGCGGUUUGUUUUACCUCCCGCUCCGCACCCCACGAUGAAGAUUUACAAUUCCACCAACCAUGACGUUUACGAGAAACUGUCAAAUAAAUAAAUAAAUAAAUAAAUCUCUUCCUGUUUAAGUCGUCUUGAACGAGCAUCUGCUAACGAUGGCGCACUCGUGUUUUUUUUAUUUUAUUUUUCUUUUCCUUCCCCACCCACUGUUUCACAUUCAUGCAUGUGCUUAAAAAAGAAACUAGGACUUGUAUCUCCUGCGCGGAACAUCUGCGCGAUACAGAUUUAGGCUACAGUUCCACCAACUGUUCGUAUUUGUUUAUAUCGGAUUCCUCCGACACCGGUCCCGCUCAAGGUUCGACCUCGUGUCAGGUUUACAUCGGUGUCGUUAUCCCGGCGCUGAUCCUGUCCUGGUCCGGGUGUUUACUUUGGAACGAUGCGAAUUGUCCUGUGGAUUUAUUGGCCUGCGUUCUCACUCCAUCUGCACGCCAUGUGGUCGUUGGGAACGGAGCCAUGUUUCAUUCUUUAUGCUGCGCCCCCUGGAAGAGCGACGCUUUCGUCCCGCCGUGUACGAGAUUACGGACGACGAGCACGGCCUAGAGAGAGCGCGUCUUCCGUAAGAUGAGCGUUUAUAGAUGAUGGUCAGCGUGUCAAACUUCUCCCGAAUUUGCCCCGACACACACCACACUGUGGCUUAAUACGCCGUAGACCAACAGUUUAACCAGGCCACCUGAGGACCCGGCGCUCACGGUCACUUGGGAGGUUGGCUGGCACUCUAAGUGACCUCGGACUGUACACGUCACCGAAGAACACUAAAGGCAGUCCUGAGCGUUGCCUUGCCUCUAGGAGCGUAGUCACAGGAAAAACCUGUGGUCUCAGUGUUUUCCCCCGCUGACAGGAUGUGUUGUAACGCGUGCGGAAUGCCAGCUCUGUGCGACAACAAGGAGGAGGUCAGGAACGCUCGCUCGCUCGCCGCCACGACGUCCCCACAGCAUGCUCAUAGCACGUAGACCAAAAUAGACCUCGUAACUACGCGGCUCUACCGGUCCGACCUUAUUUUGCUCCAUCGGAAACAGUUAGCAACGGAUCGCACGCUGAGGUGAUGACGUCGUCCUGUUCCUUUAAUUGUCAUACGCUCAAACCUCCCGACGCUCACGCAUUCUCUCUCUCUCUCUGUGUGUGUGUGUGUGUGUGUGUGUGUGUGUGUGAUUGUCUAUUUCUUUCUUUCUUUUUUUUUUCCUUGACAUUUUUGUCACUUAUCGCCGGCUGUGUUUCUGAAGCAUUUUAUUUUUCCUUUCAGUGGGAAUGUAAUGCACCAAGGCCACGCCUCCUUUAAUUGGACCGAUAUAAUAGCGAUAUACCGGGAUGAAUUAUGUCACAGUCUGCUUUUCUGGGAAGUCGUGAUUUUUUUAUUGCAGAAAUGACUAGAAGUCGUUUUGGAUUCGAUGGAUUUUUAUCAUGUUAAAACCUCGUGUGAUUGGAUGCCUGAAUGGGAAGAUUUGCCUCCAAGUGUAUUUAGGCUUCAGAUAUGGGUCAGUGCCUGGGCUUCUCUGAGCUCGAGAUAGUGUGUGUUGUCUGUGUUUUUUUUAAAAAUAGUUCAACCCUGGGCUGUGUAUAAAUAGAAAGUGUGGGUGGAUAGAGAACCAGAGCUGGGGCAGUUUGAAGAGUGUGAUGCGUUAUCCUAAGAGCUUGGGUUUUUUGGUACGUGCCGGGUCACGUAUAUAUUUAUAGCAGGAGUUUGAACACGGUUCCUGCACAGUGCUUUUGUGUAUAAACUUUACAGAAGAAGAAAAAAAAUGUACGGCUGUGAAAGGGGUUUACAGGUCCGU
ensembl:lncRNA